rnacentral:lncRNA from 1 species
UGCAGGAGUCCAGUCCUGUCUUUGGGGAGCCAAGCUAUAGGGUAUCACUCUUGUUCACUUUAAGCCUUAUUCCUCAUAAAGGAACUGAAUUUGUGUAGGUGGACUGCACCAUAGAUGCGCUUUUCUAAGCCUAUUGCACUUAUCUCAGCAGAGCUGUUGUUUGCCUCCUAAUAAGCAAUUUGGUGUCUUAUCAUGAGCUCUGAGGCCCUCCAAAGAUCAUUUCUAUAAUGACAUCUUGUGGAAGCAAACCUCUGUAAAACUUUUGGAAGCAGGAAAGACAUGUCUCUAGGGGACAAACUCCUAUAAAAAAGAAUCACCACAUUUACCUUGAAGCUUGACAGCUCGUGGCAUGAAUGGAGGCUUGAAUCUACAGAGGCACAAUGAGGGCAGGUGAUUCCAGAGGCCUCCAGGGAGAAAUGCACCAGUGUAAUGGAGCAGUGGAUGCUGUGAACUACAAUAGCUGGCCUCCUGGAUCAUCACAACAGAGAAAAGAGAUGAUGACCUGUGCACAGGUUUUUGAAAACAUCCCCCUGGAGCUAACAAAUCACUUCUAUUUGCAUGGCUGUGG